rnacentral:rRNA from 1 species
UACGUAGGUGGCAAGCGUUACUCGGAAUCACUAGGCGUAAAGCGCAGGUAGGCGGUUUGAUAAGUCUGUUGUGAAAGCUCCCGGCUCAACUGGGAGAGGUCAACGGAAACUGUCAGGCUAGAGUGUGGUAGAGGUAGCUGGAAUUCCCGGUGUAGCGGUGAAAUGCGUAGAUAUCGGGAGGAAUACCUAUGGCGAAAGCAGGCUACUGGACCAUCACUGACGCUGAUCUGCGAAAGCUAGGGGAGCAAACAGG